UGUGUUUCCCUCUUGGCUGGGCUGGGCAGGGAGGGUCCCAGCCUCCCCCAUCUGUUUCUCUCUACAACCUGCUGAGGCCACUGUGGAGGCAGUGGGGAGGGAGUUUCCAGGAAGUUCCUGUCGCACAAGGAGGGGCAGCAGCGCCCCUUUGCCCCAGGGGAGAGCUGCGUGGGACAUGUGCCCAGCUCAGCCCUGGGACCCAAAAUGGAGAAGAGAAAGGAGAAACUGAGGAUGGCAACCCCCCUCCGUGGGAACCCUGGGAAAGGCGGCACUGCAGGGCGUGGGCCGCUAGCAAGAACCGAUGGCCUUCCACCCCAGCAUUCGGUCUGCCCAGGCUUGCCUCAGUUUCCCCAUCUGGCCAGAAGCCCGAGAUGGCUACUUCCAGGGGGGUGUGGGCAGCAGAAAGAAGCGGACUAAGGCGACCAGAAGAGGAGGGGGAUUUGGGGAAGUCGGGGCCCUGUCCCUUUUCCGAGCCCCGGUCGCCAAGCCUCCCCUCCCCCGCCUGGCAUCUGAGCCGCCCAGAUAACGGGACCUCCCCGGGUGGAGCAUGCGCCAUCGGCAAGAAUUUUAGUCUGGUAGGCUGUGGGACAAAAUGUUACCCGGCAAAAAAGAUUAUAUCCAACCGUGUUCACCCUGUGCGAUUCAUCUCUGCCAUCGACCCUGGAGAAGCCAUCGGAGGCGCGUGUGCAUGGGGAGCACCUGUCAAAGGUUGCUACCUGCUGCUUUGAUAGUCAUUGUAAAAAACGGGGGAGGCUUGCACGCGCGCGGACAAAGGCGCACACGCAACUCGCUGAGAGGGAGGGAAUACUAUGCAGUGAACAAAAAGAAUGACGCCGUCAAGGAAAUGCAAAUUAAAAUUCAGAGAUAUGCCACCACACACCCACCAGAAGAGCUACAAGUCCUCAUCUCACCGGUUGGUGAGUUCCAGCCCUGUGGACCG